GUCGUUUGACGUGAGACGGGGCAGUCCCUUGACCUCACCUUCCACCUCGGACACCUGUGCUGAGCCUGUGGCAUAUGUCACCAUACCUAAACUCACGGCAGGAUGAGCGCCCUGGCAGUGGGAACAGGCCGUGCAGAGGCCCUGGGGAGGGAGUGAGCCAGGUCAGGGGGCUGAGUAAAGACAGGUUCUUAACCCCAUGAGGCUCUGUGGGUGACUCUGGGUGGGACGGGGGCUUUAGCAGGGGAGAGUUGGGACCUGCUUGGAGCGAAGGCCACUCUGGUUGCCAUGGCCACGAGGACAAGCAGGGGACUGUGGGAGGCUGCUGCUGUGGUCCAGUUGAGAGAAGACUUGGGAGGCAGAGAGGCAGUGGACAGGGUGGAGCCGUGAAGUCACCCUCCCAACACAUGAGAGAAGACGUCCAAGCCCAGUCCCUGACACCACUCCAGCCAGGGGCAGGGAGGAGAGUAGAGUGGAGGCGCACAGGAUGACAGUGGGGCAUGGGGAGGCCAGCCUCUGCUGCGAGAGCUCUGAGAUAGGGACGAUGGUACCUCUGACCUUCCCUACCCCUCCAAGCCCUCUGUCCUGCUGGAAGGAGAGGCCAGGCGGAGACCCAGGUGCUGAGGAGCAGGGACAGGACUGGGGGACCAUUGGGGACCUGGCCCAGGGUUGGGGGCGCACCUUCAGAAUCGCCCCUGCCCCACGAGAGGGCUGCUGACCCCCACCCCUACCCCACGGCUGCCCCUCAGCAGGAGGGUCCAUUUCUCUCCCGAAAAACAGGGCACAGUCACUUCCCGAUGCUAAAACACUCGGCAUUUCCCUAGAAACAAAGGCAACCAUGCAAACCCCGAGCAAACAGGUGGCAUGUAGUUGCCCAUCGCAUUUCGGUGGGCUGCGGUCCAGCUUCUAGAGGCCUGAGUGUGAGAUGUGUGCACAUCUGGGGCAGGCAGUUGGUGCCAGGGCAGAGGAGAGGGCAGGUUGCGCCUAACUUCAUCUUUCCCCGCAGGACCUGGCCUGGGCCAUCAGCUACUACAUCCGAUUCUUCAUCACCUACAUCCCUUUCUACGGCAUCCUGGGAGCCCUCCUUUUCCUCAACUUCAUCAGGUGCCUGGGCUUUGCUGAUUCAUCCCUGGGCCCUCCACUGGCACUGAUGAUGGCUUUGGCAUGAGAAGAGGCUCGGACGGCUCCACUUUGCCCGGGGACCUCCCAUCCUGGCCCCUUGGCAGGGGCUGUCCUGGGCUGGUUGGGAGAGUGGAUCUGUUCCCACCGUGGCCGGGCCCCUGGAGGCCCCUGCCCUGAGCUGUGUUCUCUUGCAGGUUCCUGGAGAGCCACUGGUUUGUGUGGGUCACGCAGAUGAAUCACAUCGUCAUGGAGAUUGACCAGGAGGCCUACCGCGACUGGUUCAGUAGCCAGCUGACAGCCACCUGCAAUGUGGAGCAGUCCUUCUUCAACGACUGGUUCAGUGGACACCUUAACUUCCAGAUUGAGCACCACCUCUUCCCCACCAUGCCCCGGCACAACUUACACAAGAUCGCCCCGCUGGUGAAGUCUCUAUGUGCCAAGCAUGGCAUUGAAUACCAGGAGAAGCCGCUACUGAGGGCCCUGCUGGACAUCAUCAGGUGAGGAGUGGAGGUCCACAGGCGCUGGGCCCUGGGAUCGCC
rnacentral:sRNA from 1 species